GUGACAGUUGAGGCUGGGAGCAGAAAUAAUCAACAUGCCCAUUAGAUACAGGACGGAAUAAUGCUUCUAUUGGUUGGGUCCCUUCGAGUGAUCUUUCCGUGGGAAUGCGGCAAGGAGUCAGCAGGCAUAGUGAAAAUGGGCGGCGAUGGAUACUCCCAGCACUUGCUGAGCACUGCUACGCCUCAGGACUGGGACAGAGAGAACCAUUCUCUGCUUUCAAUAGGACAGAAGAGCUCCUUGGCACUGGAUGCCUCCGGGUCUGGUUGAGAGAGGAAUGGUUAGGAGACUGUUCUGAGGAUACGCAGACAUCAUCCAAAGCUUCCUACAUUCAGAUGAGGACAGAGGUUGGGCCAGAGCUUUGUAAGCUUGUUACCUAAGGAUGGUUCUGACCAUGUAAGCAGAUCACAGAAGCUGGAGGCAAAGGAUGCCAAGAUGGGAAAGCCACAUAAUGGAAGGAUCCUGGAUUUCAGAGCUGUCACUUGGAGGAGGGGCACCCAGUGAAGGUGUCUUAUCUAACCCACACCAUAUCUUCAUGAAGUGGCCAUAUGGAUUUGAUCCCUAUCCUUCAGAGGUGCUCAGCCUAAGGGAACACGGAUAGUAGAUUAAGCACUGACCAGAGCCAGCCUUGACAAUGUGCUGAUGGCAACCU
ensembl:lncRNA PROX1-AS1 PROX1 antisense RNA 1